UGUUGUGCUGCUGCCGGGCGGGCCAGCCUGUAGCUCAGGCGUUGGCGGGAGCCUCGUGCUCCGCGGGGCUUCUUGGUGAGGGUGGGCAGCGGGGGCACCGUCCUGUAGGCAGGGCUGCGCGUGCCCCCCGCGUGUGCUUGCUUGGUGAGGUGCGUUGUGAGAGACCCCCUGUACUCAGGCGGGAAUGUGGCCCCGGCCUUUCAGAGGCACGGGGCCGCGAGGCGUGGGCUUGGGCUUGCGCCCUCCCCGCAAUCAGGGCUGGGGUCCCGACCGCGGCAUUUGGCCGUGCCGCCCCGCUGCCUGGCAGCUGAGAGUCGCUCCCGCCGCUGGGGGGGAAACCGAGCUCUGUGGCUCCAGGGGUGUCGUCCACCCGCCUGUAAUCAGGGUCUGGGUGCGCGAGCGCUUGUGCUCAGCUGGCAGCCUGUGUGGGGUGACCGCCCCGCUAGCGGGGUGCGGGUCCAGGUGCCCCCGGACUGGGAGAGAAGGAGCCUCCCGCGGCCGCUAGGGAUGGGGGCUGCCCUGUAAGCCAGGGAGCGACAGUGCCCCGCAGUCCCAGGCCCUUUGCAAUGGAGGCAGUGGCCGGGGGUCCCCUGUAAGCAGGGAAGCUGACUCUUUGGCCGCUGCUGUGUGUGUGCCCAGCUCCAUUUGCCCAGUCUGCCCGCCUCUGUGAUCCCCCGCAGCACCGGCUGGAAGCGCGCCGUGCGUCAGCGAGGAGCCGCUGCGGAAGAGAGGAGGAGAAGCGGCGUGGGAACGCGGGAGGCAGGAGCGAGCGCGCAAGCAAGCGAGCGAGCGAGCAAGCAAGCAAGAAGAGGAUGCGGAAGCGUGCAGACGCGGGGGGGAAGGAGAGAGGCUCCCUGGGCAAAGCAGCCGUCCCGUUAGCGGGGCCGCAGUCACAUUUAGUCCCAUUUGAGUUUGAGCGUUGCCGGCGCCUUGGCCGGCUUUGUGCUGGGCGACCUCCCUGUAAGCAGGGCUCGGGUCUUUGCUUUUGCUGUAGUUGGCCUUUUGCCUUGCUGCUCCUUUGGCUGCCUGGGGAGCGUGGGCCCCUGUAACGCAGGGCGAGAGCCACCUCUCCGCACCUGAGUGGGAAAUGGAGCUCGCCGGACCCCGAGGCCACCCUGUAAGCAGGGUAGUGCCGUUUCCCCGGCCCUCUUCCUCCUCCGGCCCCUCGGCAUCAUCGUUGCCUGGAGGUGGCCUGUCAAUGCGACGGCCCCGUACUCGGGGUGUGCGUCACGGCAUCUGGCCUUUGGCUUUAGCUGGGAAGCCCCUUGGCACGUUGAGGUCUGUGGCCUCCGUGCAGGCUAGGGACAGGUCACAGGCUCUUGUCUGUUGCCCGCGGUUGUGGGUUUAUUCCCAGGGUUUGGCUGCGCUGGGUUGUCCUUCCCUUUGGGAAAGUCGCCUCUGUGUGUGCGUGUUGCCCUUCCUUUCCUUGUUUGUGUUUGUGGAGUGACGGAGCGACUGAGCUUUCCCUUUAGGCCCCCACAAAGAUGGCUGCAGCUUAGCUUCGACUUCCCUGGGGGGAACGGAGGACUGUGGUGCACGCCGCAAAAGGGGUGUUCCCUCUCAGUCCCGCGAGCGCAGCGA